rnacentral:ncRNA from 2 species
AGAGGGAACCCGGUGAGAAUCCGGGACUGUCCCGCAGCGGUAUGCAGGAACGACCGCCGUCAUCAGCACUGGUCGCCCGGGGCCCUGCCCCGACUGGGAAGCGACGGCCACUAGGAGCACCCCCGGUGCGCGCCUGCGAGUCCGAAAACCU